GCCGAGGUAGCUCAACUGGCAGAGCAACGGUUUUGUAAACCGUAGGUUGUGGGUUCGACUCCCAUCCUCGGCU
rnacentral:tRNA from 3 species